UACGUAGGCAGCGAGCGUUGUUCGGAGUUACUGGGCGUAAAGAGUGCGUAGGCGGUUUUCUAAGUUUGGUGUGAAAUCUCCCGGCUUAACUGGGAGGGUGCGCCGAAAACUGGAAGGCUUGAGUAUGGGAGAGGUAAGCGGAAUUCCUAGUGUAGCGGUGAAAUGCGUAGAUAUCGGGAGGAACAUCAGUGGCGAAGGCGGCUACCUGGCCCAAUACUGACACUCAGGUGCGACAGCGUGGGGAGCAAACAGG
rnacentral:rRNA from 1 species